rnacentral:rRNA from 1 species
GACGAACGCUGGCGGCGUGCUUAACACAUGCAAGUCGAACGGAAAGGCCCUGCUUUCGUGGGGUGCUCGAGUGGCGAACGGGUGAGUAACACGUGAGUAACCUGCCCUUGACUUUGGGAUAACUUCAGGAAACUGGGGAUAAUACCGGAUAGGAGCUCCUGCUGCAUGGUGGGGGUCGGAAAGUUUCGGUGGAUGGGGGUGGACGGGCGGCUUAUGAGCUUGUGGGGGGAGUAGUGGCUUACCCAGUCAUCGGCGGGUAGCCGGCAUGAGAGGUUGAACGGCCACAAUGGGACUGAGGUACGGCCCAGACUGCAACGGGAGGCAGCAGUGGGGAAUAUGGCACAGUGGGGGGGAGCCUGAUGAAGCAACGCCGCGUGCGGGAUGCCGGCCUUCGGGUGGUAAACCGCUUUCGCCUGUGACGAAGCGGGAGUGACGGUAAUGGGUAAAGAAGCACCGGCUAACUACGUG